UAAGCUCUGUGACACUCCUGUGAUUUGGCAAAAACCCCUCAUGGGAAACAGAACAGCUGCCGACAAGGGCUGAUUUCCUCAGUCACACAUGUGUCACAGAGAAGGUGUUGACUCAGAGGAGGGACCCGGCAGAGGGUGAGUUAGAGGCAGAGCUAUUUCUGAGUGGAGCCAUGCAGAGGAACUGCUCACUCAUCUAUCUCACCCUCUUCUGGACAGGAGUCAUGUCAGCUGUCCAGUUGGAACAAGACCAAGAAGUGACUGUGUUCUUGGCGAUGUCUGCCACCCUCAGGUGCUCCUUGGAGGGAGAAAUGAUCAGUAACUACUAUAUCAGCUGGUACAGGCAGACCGAGGGUAACACAAUGACUUACAUACACCGAGAAGGGGGAAUGUAUGGCCGUGGUUUCUUCGGCAAGUUCCGGGCUAGCAUUGAUAGUUCAAGCAACAAGGCUGAGCUUGAGAUCCUUAAAGCAUCAGAAAGAGAUGAAGGAAUUUACUACUGUGCCAGCGACUACCACCCUGCUGCUGGCCCACUUCUGACACAACUCAUCUUUGGAAAGGGCACUAAACUCAUCGUGGAACCAAAAAGUCAGCCUCCUGCCAAACCAUCUGUUUUCAUCAUGAAAAAUGGGACCAAUGUUGCUUGUCUGGUGAAAGAUUUCUACCCGAGGAAUGUAACUAUAAAUCUCCUCUCAUCCAAGAAAAUAGUAGAAUUUGACCCUGCUAUCGUUGUCUCUCCCAGUGGGAAGUACAGUGCUGUCAAGCUUGGUCAGUAUGAAGAUUCUAAUUCAGUGACAUGUUCAGUUCAACACAACCAUGAAACCUGGUACUCCACUGAAUUUGAAAAGAUGGUAAAUUCUUCAGAUAAUCUAAAACCAAUGGAAGCUGAAAAGAUACAGCAAACUUCAAAGAUCAGCCAUAAACCCAAAGUUCAUGCCGAGAAGGUGAACAUGAUGUCCCUCACAGUGCUGGGGCUCCGAAUGCUGUUUGCCAAGAUGGCUGCUGUCAAUUUUCUCUUUACUGCCAAGUUAUUUUUCUGUUAAGGCUGACAGGCAGGAGACAGCUACACUUCCU